UACCCACUCAGUUCAUUCCAAAUGUAAAAUCAGGCUUCCCUUUUCCAGAGCCAUUUAUUAGGUCUGCUUAGAAAGGCAGGCAGGAACUUUCUUCACAAUGACGGCUCUGGGGAAUCAGCCACCCAUGUCUCAUGUCAGUGUGUCUGCUGCGAUGAGGAUUCCUCCGCUCCUAUGACAACCUCUGCUUAGUGGGUCAUCUGUUGUCUUUUGAGUUCUCAUUUUUCAUGACUUCCCAAAGGACAGAAAGGAGACUGCAGCAACAAGAACUCAGGACAGCUCUCUUCCAUCAAGGCAGUGAGACAGGAGAAUCUGCAGUCGAUUUCACAAUGGAAGAACAAAUGAUGAGAACCAGCGGGGGACAGUUGUCAUCUCUGUAGAGCAUUGACCUCAGCAUCCCAGGGUGCUGAUUUGGACCCACCCAAACAGGUCAGAUUCACUCCAGAUAAAUAUUAUUCAACCUCUCCCUGGUCCCAGGACUCCCUUCCCUCACCUUGGGACUCCCUCGGGAACCCCUCCCUCAUUUUAAGACCCUCCUCCCCUAAAGCACCAAGACCUAAGAAAAUUAUUUUCCUAAACUUAACCUUGCCCUCUGCUCUGCCAACGUCUUCCCAGGUCUAAGAGGCUCCAGAGAGUUCCACACAGCCUGGACUGCAAGGAAACCUCCAACUACCCCAGGACCUGGGGGCACCCAGCUUUCUCAGGUCCCCACAGACGGGCGACGUCCCCAAGGUCAGCAGGAAGUAGUCUUGAGAACUCGACGCCCUUACUCCCUAACCUGAUGUGCCUAGCUCCUCGCCUUUUUAAUAUUGAAUAAAGGUGAGAAUAUAAAGAUUCAGAUAUUAUUCUGACUCCGCCCCCGCCCCUGGCAACUGGAAAGGUAGGCACACGGGCAUUCAGGCAGGCCCUUAUGUGUCAUGGCUACGACACACGCCAUGUGGCUGGGCAAGGACUCUAUAGACAUGUGAAGCUUUGAUUUUCUGUCCUGUAUUUUUUUGUUUUGUUUUUCCAUAAUAAAUUGAGUACUGUUCUUUUGA